UAACCGUUACCUCUAUUCAAUAUAUUAAUGCGUGCGUACAUCUACUAAGUGCGACUUGUCACUACAUGAUUGAAAAUGGCAAGUGGAGCAUCAGGAGCAUCAGGAAGCGAUUUUGUUGACGAAAAAAAUGAUCUGGCCAGACAAAUAUCUGAAAUUAGAAUGGAUAUGAUGGAAAUGUUUGGUGGUCUUAACAAUAAAAUUGACAAACUGCAGUAAAAAAAACAGAUCUGCUGGAGGAAAUUUGCAACAAAUCAAGACUGAUUGAAGAGAAGGAAAAUGAACUUAGACAGCUCAGAGAAGAAUUGGGAGCGAGCAACGAAAAGAAGCUCAGAGACAAACAAAUCAAAAUAGAAACACUUGAAUUGCAAAUCAGCGAUUUGAAGAAAACAAUGAAUGAAACGGAACAGAGACUACAAUCGACAAACGAGGAACUAAAAGCAGAACAGAAAAAAUGUAAAAAACUAAAUAAACAAGAUAAAGAAAAACAACAAGAUUUGGAUGCACUUCAAGAAGAAAAGACGAAAGCUGAGGACAGUAAAAAUGCUACAAAUAAGGAAUUAAACAAGGUUAUGGCAGACUGGCAGCAAUUAAAGUGUCAAAAGUAUGUAAGGAA